CCUACGGGGGGCUGCAGUGAGGAAUAUUGGACAAUGGGGGAAACCCUGAUCCAGCAAUGCCGCGUGUGUGAAGAAGGCCUGCGGGUUGUAAAGCACUUUCGGUUGGGAAGAAAAGUUUGGCGCCAAUACCGCCGAACCUUGACGUUACUGACAGAAGAAGCACCGGCUACCUCUGUGCCAGCCGCCGCGGUAAUACAGAGGGAGCAAGUGUGAAUCGGAAGUACGGGGCGUAAAGCGUGCGUAGGUGGUGAAAUCCCCGGGCUUAACCUGGGAACUGCAUUCGAUACUACAUGGCUAGAGUAUGGUAGAGGGAAGUGGAAUUUCCGGUGUAGCGGUGAAAUGCGUAGAUAUCGGAAGGAACACCAAUGGCGAAGGCAGCUUCCUGGACUAAUACUGACACUGAGGCACGAAAGCGUGGGUAGCAAACAGGAUUAGAUACCCUUGUAGUC
rnacentral:rRNA from 1 species